GCUGGCGUAGCUUAACACAAAGCAUAGCACUGAAAAUGCUAAGAUGGGACCUAAAAAACCCCGCACGCA
rnacentral:tRNA from 1 species